UACGUAGGGGGCAAGCGUUAUCCGGAUUUAUUGGGCGUAAAGAGCUCGUAGGCGGUUUGUCGCGUCUGCUGUGAAAACUCAGGGCUUAACCCUGAGCCUGCAGUGGGUACGGGCAGACUAGAGUGUGGUAGGGGAGAUCGGAAUUCCUGGUGUAGCGGUGGAAUGCGCAGAUAUCAGGAGGAACACCGGUGGCGAAGGCGGAUCUCUGGGCCAUAACUGACGCUGAGGAGCGAAAGCAUGGGGAGCGAACAGG
rnacentral:rRNA from 1 species